ensembl:lncRNA
CUGAACUCAACCCGCGGGUAGGACGCAGCUCCGACCGGCUCAACCUCUUGUUGGUUUUAUACUGAGUCGACGUCAUCCUGGAUUUAGUUCCUGCGGUCACUCUGGGUCUGAAACCACCCUGACUUUCCCUAGCUAACACAUCAGUGAGGAGCAAAUUCAGCCACUGUUUAAAAUUCGCCACGGAGAGGAGCACUCUGAAGCGAUGCUUCCAGAGGCUUCCCGCGUGGGUGCCGCGAGCUCCCCAAAAGGCCUCUAGCUAUCUUUCCAGGCCCACUCUGGCCUCUGUGGGACCCCAGCGGCCUGGACCAGAGUCGGGCCACUGCGGGCGGCCCUGAUGAUUUGCGGGAUUCUCCGUGAGGCACGGUCGAACCGUGGGAGGCGCAGCCAACCUAGAUCUACGCGCAGGCGGCUGGGCGACCUCCGGGAAGGUAAACGAUUCUCUGCGCAGAACGAAAGCAGAGGCCAGAAGUCGCGCGUCCCUGGUGCCAGUCCCGGAAUUGCAGAGCAGUCCAUCGUCCCGGCCGUCGCUCCAGCUGCUUCAGGCGAGACCUGGGUAGAGGACUCCCUGGAGGUCCAAGGCAUUUGUGGAGAUUCGUCUCUCACUGAUAAGCUAAGAUAGCUUCAACGCCGUCUUAAAGUCGUACAAUAAAUGCUAAGUCCUCCCGGCACAGGAGGAGACACCCCUCUUGUUAUUGCUCUUCCUGGGUUAGAGAACCGUUGCGGUAAGUUUGGUGGUCCCUCCUGGACACAGAACUCCGGCCGUGUGGCAGUGCGUGGGAGCAGCCACCCGGAGCUUAGGAAAGCGCGCUUCUCCUAGGCCUCCAC